GAUCAGGAAAAGACGGGGGGCGGUCACAGCUGGCCCUAAUUCUCACGCACCCAACACCGGGAAUUUACCGAUUCCUUCGGCGUUUCCCCCUCCUAUCUGCUAUUUAAAGCCCCUCUGCCUCUCCCUCUUUCUCCUCACCCACCUCUCGGCGCCGCUUCCUUUGCGUUUCUCUUGUCUCUGUCCUGCCCUCCUCCGUGUUGCUCUUUCACCACACAUCUUAGAGGCGAAUCUUUUGCGAAGAACAGAUCGCCGGCGAGCCGCAGACCCUUCUCGCCUCUAGAUCAAGUGUGGAUGAAUUAAUGGAGUCUAAGGGUGGGAAGAAGAAGUCUAGCAGUAGUAGUAGUUCAUUACA